rnacentral:lncRNA from 10 species
GGAUGCAGCAGAUUCUACGGCUCUUCAGUCUGUGGUGCCCAUGCACGAUUUCUACCUGUUUUCAAAGGUUCUCACCUUUGUGUUGCCCUAAUGAUGUUUGCCUGUGCUUUAAUCUUAUUAAGUGCAGUUUGAGUGUGCUGAUGAGCCCAGACACUCUGCCUAAAUUGGUCACUUGAUUUUUCCCCACCUCUUACACCUGACACUCUCUCUAUCCACCACCACCUGUGAUCAAGCUUCUCUUCCCCCCUUGGGAAUGGGAGAAAUCCAAGAAUUUUAAAACACAUGAUAAAAUGAAGAAAUAAGACAAUGAAAAAAGACAUCAAUUUCUUUUUUUUCUUUCUAUUAAUUCUACAGUUUCAUGAGCCAGACAUGAAAAACCAGGCUGCAGGGCAGAACACUUCAAAGAAGAAAGCAGAACAAAGAAAAGGCUACAUUGCUCUGCACAGAGAAAAGAAAAAGAAGAUUCGGCCACCCAGAGGAGUCUGAGCUUCCUGGCAGGAGGCUGGAGGAAGGAGAGAAAGCAAUGGCUGGCCAGGUGUUCCUGGGGGCAGGAAUAUUUGGGAAAUAUCUAAUGUUCAAUUGUAGGUUGUUUUCUGGGCUGCAACUCUUUUCUGUUGCCCCUCGCAAAUCUUCAAUAAAAUCUGCUAUG